UAUGUGAUCCAAUUACCCGCAUCAUCAUGUAGGCCCACUAUUUUAUUUCGGAUUCACCGUUGCUUUGUUAGAGCAUGAUAAAACUUAGUAUUCAAAUCCCCGGAUGAGUACCACAUAUUUCGACUCUUCUGAUGCCAAUACUCCUCCUCAUCCUUAUAGGCCUCCUGUAAUUUCCUGGAAAUCUCAAUAAUAUCCUCUUGGGAUCUAUUGUUAUCUGUUUGUACAUCAUCCAAAGCUUGUUGAAGAUUCUGAAUUUUUUCCUUCCCAUAAGGUUGAUUGUCUCUCCGCCAUGAAGAUAUUUCAUGUCGACAAUUAUUAAUUUUGGUAAUAAAAUCCCCUGGUUGGCCCUCCUGAUUUUCUGUCCAACCCGACACAAUUGAUUCCAUAAGCCCCGCCUGACCUAUCCACCGCUUAUCAAACCUGAACUGACCUCUUUUUUUCCUUGAUAAUUUAUCUUCCAG
rnacentral:lncRNA from 1 species